UUAUUUUUUAACUUAUAAACCAUUACUCCCCUUUAUUUGGCAUGUUGGUAAAUUUUUGGCAGCCCUAGCUUCAUUAUAGAAAAUGUAUGAAAACAACUUCAAACCGUUACCAAACUUCGCCUACUACCCCGUUUUUUAAAUAUAUGCCUCGUCUGGUGUAGUUAAGGUUCAUAGUAUAUUAGCACAUUCCAAGGAGAUACGACUUAACAUGUGUAAGUCACAGAAAAGUAAGUAUUAGCGGCAAGGCAUGCCAUAGGCGAAGAUUGGGAAAAAUACCCAAACAUCGCCUAUAGCCUUUGGGGCCAUUUAUUACCAACUUAACCAAUGAAAUUAAAAGUUUUAGUGUUGUAUACUGAUAGUUAGGAAUACUAAAAAACGUUUUUUCGCCUAAACGGAUUAAAAUGUUAUCAAAUUUGAGAGAUUUUUUUGAAAAGUGUCAAAACCCAGGCGAAGAUACGAAACUCUACGUUAGUAUUAAUGAAGUAACAAAAUAAUCGUAAAUAAAUCCAUGGAAUUAAUAAUACAGGUGGUAGGGUGAUGUAGUGAAUAAAAUAAAUUUCACGAAUAAAUGUCUUUUAAUAUUGCUUACCUUCGUUGGUAUAUCUUGAUUACAGCAAGAGCAGUAUACGUGUUUGUCACGUACCUCCAAAAACGGAAAAUUGCCACAAUAUUCGAGUAAAGAUGACAUUUUAGAGCGUUUUCUUAUACAUUAGUAAAUAUAAA